UGAACUCAUUGAGAGCAGAGGCAGUGCAUGUUUACAUGCCAGUGCUUGGAUACACAAAUUUUCUCAGCAUCUGAAAUGAAGUAGGACCACCCGCUGAACUUAAGCAUAUCAUUAAGCGGAGGAAAAGAAACUAACAAGGAUUCCCUUAGUACGGGCGACGGAAGCGGGAAAAGCCCACACUGGUAAUCUCCGGGCGCUAGCUCGGCGAAUUGUAAUCUGAAGAUAGCUAGUCUACCUGGACCGGACGCCGAAGUGUGCACGAGCGCGCCGCCAAAGAGGGUGAGAGCCCCGUAUGGUGUCGGGUCCUACAAGGGCUGGUUGUCGAAGAGUCGUGUACUUUGAUACUAGUGCACUAAGCGGGAGAUAAACUUCUUCUAAGGCUAAAUACAAGUAGGAAACCGAUAGCGAACAAGUACUGUGAAGGAAAGAUGAAAAGCACUUUGGAAAGAAAGUUAAAAGACUUGAAAUCGUUGAGGCGGACCCGGUAGAAAUGUAUUCUAGCGAAGCGCCCUGGGAAGCCUGUAUUCGGGCCACUCGGGCGUCAGCCGAGACAAGAUGGAGUCGCCGGAUGCCAGAGGCCGGGCGCGAGGGAGCUUGCUCCAGCGCGUGCGUGCCGGGUGUCGGGCGGCUUGAGGGGCCUUGAGCGAUCUUGUCAAAAUGGUUUUUACCGACUCGUCUUGAAACACGAACCAAGGAGUCUAAGACUAACGCGAGUGUGGUGGUGGAGAAACCAACACGCGAAAUGAAAGUAAAUGAUGCCAAGCUCCCUGCAGCAUCGACCGACCACUUUCCCCUGGAAGAGGUUUGAGUAAGAGCGUUAUUCUUAGGACCCGAAAGAUGGUGAACUAUGCCUGUGUAGGGUGAAGUCAGGGGAAACUCUGAUGGAAGCUCGUGGCGAUACUGACGUGCAAAUCGUUCGUCGAACAUGGGUAUAGGGGCGAAAGACUAAUCGAACCAUCUAGUAGCUGGUUCCCUCCGAAGUUUCCCUCAGGAUAGCUGGGACAAGUACGCAGUUUUAUUAGGUAAAGCGAAUGAUUAGAGGCAUCGGGGAUAAAAUGUCCUUGACCUAUUCUCAAACUUUAAAUUGGUAAGAACUCCAUUCUUUUCUUAACUGAAGACGGAGGUUCAAUGCGUGUCCUUAGUGGGCCAUUUUUGGUAAGCAGAACUGGCGAUGAGGGGUGCUCCUAACGUCUGGUUAAGGUGCCAAACUACACGCUCAUCAGAAACUACAAAGGGUGUUAGUUCAUGAAGACAGCAGGACGGUGGCCAUGGAAGUCGGAACCCGCUAAGGAGUGUGUAACAACUCACCUGCCGAAUG
rnacentral:rRNA from 1 species